UUCCUGAUUCCUAUGUUUAUUAAGCAUAUUUAGUUAUGUUUUAACAAUGCAUAUAUUUAAAGUUGCAUAAAUAGGUUUGCAUUUGAAACCAUUUACCAACAGAGUUCCAUUGGAAACACUGUAAAACAGCAUGGAUGUUUUCACUUAAGGAAUUUUAGUACAUCACCAUUUUUCAAAAGAAUAAGAAAUGCUAUGUUAAUAUUUGAAUGUUUAUUCCAUAAAGUUAUUUACCUAUUUACUUAAAGAUCCAGUUCAGAGACCGUUUGCCUCUAGUGAAUAUUUCCACUAAAGUCUGAAGUGAGUAAAUGGAUGAACUUUAAUUCCAGGAAGAACUUUGGAAUUGCUUUCCUGAAUGGAGACUCUUUUAACACAUAAUAAAGAGAGUUAUGUAUAUCUUAUAAGUAUCUCAAAGUGUUUAACUGAGAAAUGUUCCUGUCUAAAGGAAGAACAGGGACAAAAAAUGGAGCAGAGACCAAAGGAAGGUUCAUCUGGGGACUGCCCCAGUGGGGGAUCCAUCUUGUCUGCAGACACCAAAUAGGACACUAUGAUCAAGCAGCACUGGCUGACAGGAACCUGGUAUGGCUGCUCCUUUGGAGGCUCAGCCAACAACUGACCAAUGCAGAUGUGAAAGCUUGAAGCCAACCAGCAGACUGAGAGACCCUGGUGGAGGAGCUGUCAGAAGGCCUGGAGAAGCAGAGGGGGAUUGCGACCCCAUAUGAAGAACAGCAUUGGCUGUCUGGACCACCUAGUGCUUGCAGUUCUGCAAUGUAACACGAGGAGAGCAGGUCUCUCAAGGAGUAAUUACUCACACUUCAGAGUGAAGCCUUGCAUUUAUGGAUAACUGUCACCAUAUGGAGAUUGCUUUUAUGUGAGUCUCUGCUGUCCUGAAAUUCAAGGUGACAACAAGUUUAGAAUAAUGACUUUUCAUUCUGCCUUCAGCCUUGGGGAAGGAAAUAAUGUAUAAGAUGCUGUACUUCUCUAUAAGUUUGAUUAGCAAGCGACAUCGCCUGGGAAAGAACCCCUAAAACCAGCUCUCACUGUGCGUUUAACUUCUCAGCUCCUGGCCAACUCCCCAUUAUGACACUGUCACUGAAGAAUCUGUUUCCAGAAACAACUUGAAGGAAACAUUUAUUUGGGAUCAUACUUCAAGGUGAAAGGUGAAGUCCAUCCUGGCACAGAGUUGAGCCAGCAGAACCUUGAAGUAACUGAUUACAUUAGGGCCAUAGUCAGGAAGAAGAGAGCAAUAAAUACUGUGAAAAGGCAAUGCUUUCCUCCAGAGAAAGUCCAACAUCACAUCCCAGGAAAUGGUGCCACCCACAACGGGAUGUCUUCUUAUAUCAAUUAAUCAAGACCAUCCUUCACAGGUAUUCCCAUGGCUAAUAUAACCUGCAUAAUUAUCUCUUGUAGGUAUGUUCAGAGACUUCUUUGCUAAGAAAUUCUAGAUCUUUAGUUUUUAUUAAUUAUUCCAUUUGUUUACAUCUCAAAUGAUAUCCCACUUCCUGGUUACCACUCCACCGACGCCCCCAUCCCACAUCUGCCCUUUCACCUCCCCUUUGCCUAUACGAGGGUGCUUCCUGGCCCACCCAUACUAUCCCACCCCACUAGUACAGCAUCCUUCUAGGCUGGGGUAUCAUACCUCCCUGGGACCAAGGAUCUCCCCUUCUGUUGCUGUUAGUCAAGGCCAUCCUUUGCUAUAUAUGUAACUGGAGCCAUGGAUCCCUCCUGGUACACUCCUUGGUUGGUCGCCUAGACUCUGGGAGAACUGGGUGGUCAGGCCAGCCUGUGUUGUUCUUCCAAUGGGGUUCCAAUCCCCCUCUGCUUCUCUGGUAUUUCGACCACCUCCCCCACCAAGUUCCCUGAGCUCAUGAUGAUUGCCUCCAAGCAUGCACAUCUGCAUUGGUCAGUUGCUGGCCAGACCUCCUCAGGAAGUACCACACUAGUUUCCUGUCAGUAAGCACCUCUUGACAGAGCAACAGUGUUGGGUUUGAUGUCUGUACACAUGAUAGAUCCCCAGGUAGGGAUGUCCUUAGUUGGCUAUUCCUUCAGUCUCUGUUCCAUUUUUUUUUUUGUCAUUGUUCUUACUUUGGACAGGAACAUUUCUGGGUUUAAAUACUUUGAGAAGGGUGGAUGGCCCCAACCCUCAACCAGGGGCCAUGCCUAUCUACUGGAAGUGGUCUCAACAGGUUCCUCUUCUCUGCACAUUUCUGUUUAAGGCAUCCCUGUUUGGUCCUGGGAACCUCACAUUUCCCUGGUGUCUGGGACCCUCCAGUGGCUAUCCCCAGUUUCUCAACCCCUCUGGUACAUAUAUUUGUUCGAUUUCCUGACCCUCUGUACCUCUCUUACACCACCUCCAGUUCCUGAUACUGCCACCUUUAUUUCCUCUCCCUCUUUUCUCCCUCCCUAGACCCCCCCCCUCUCUACCUUCCACAAUCAUUCUUUCCCCCGCUCAAUGCACACCUUGGUCUUCCUUCUAUGCUCUACCUGGUCUUUGGUUUGCAAUAUGGGCAUUGUGAGCUUUGGGGAUAAUAUCCACUUAUUAGUGAUUAUAUACCAUGUUUGUUCUUUGUGUCUGCGUUACCUCACGCAGGAUGAUACUUUCUAGUUCCAUCCAUUUACCUGUGAAUUUCGUGAAGUCAUUGUUUUUAAUUGCAGUGUUGUGAAUAUGUACCACAUUUUCUGUAUCCAUUCUUCUGUUGAGGGACAUCUGGGUUGUUGCCAGCAUCUGACUAUUAUAAAUAAGACUGCUAUGAACAUAGUGGAGCAUGUGUCCUUGUUAUAUGUUGGAGCAUCUUUUGGAAAUAUACCUAGGGGUGGUAUAGGUGGUUUAUCAAGUGGAACUAUUUCCAAUUUUCUCAGGAAAUACCAGACUGAUUUCCAAAGUGGCUUUACCAGCUUGUAGUCCCACCAUCAAUGAAGGAGUAUUUCUCUUUCUCCACAUCCUUCCCAGCAUCUGCUGUCACCUGCAUUUUUGAUCUUAGCCAUUCUGAUUAGUAUGAGUUGGAAUCUCAGGGUCAUUUUGAUUUGCACUUUCCUAAUGACUAAGGAUGUUGAACAUUUCUUUAAGUGCUUCUGAGCCAUUCAAGAUACCUCUGCUGAGAAUUCUCUAUUUAGCUCUGUAUUCUCUUUGUAAUAGGCUUAUUUGGUUCACUAGAGUCUACCUUCUUCAGUUCUUUGUAUAGUUUGGAUAUUAGCCCUCUAUCAUAUGUAGGGUUGGUAAAUAUCUUUUCCCAAUCUGUGGGUUUCUGGUUUGUCCUAUUGACAGUGACCUUUGCUCUGUACAAGCUUUUCAAUUUUAUGAGGUCCCAUUUGUCGACUGUUGUUAUUAAAACAUAAGCCAUUGGUGUUCUGUUCAGGAAAUUUUGCUCUGUUCCCACGUAUUGGAGGCUCUUCCCCACUUUCUCUUCUAUUAGUUUCAUCAUAUCUGGCUUUAUGUGGAGGUCCUUGAUCCACUUGGACUUAAACUUUGUACAGGGCAGUAAGAAUGGAUUGAUUUGCAUUCUUCUACAUGCAGACCACCAGUUGAACCAGCACCAUUUGUUGAAAAUGCUAUCCUUUUUUCCAUUGGAUGGUUUUAGCUUCUUUGUCAAAAAUCAAACGACCAUAGGUGUGUGGGUUCAUUUCUGGAACUUCAAUUCAUUUCCAUUGAUCUACUUGCCUGUCUCUGUAUUUUUAAAAAUUCUGAUAAUAAAAUUACAUGGGAAGUACUCACUUAAAGGUUAGGGGAUAUUCUGAGAUCAAAGUUCACUUCUUUAACUUAGCUCUGUAGCAUAUGGAUGGCCAAGAACUGUACAAGUUUUAGUAGCAAAAGCAAUGAUGGGUGAUUGGACGAAAAACUGGCUCUGAUACUUCUGUUACAAAAUUUAAUGUAAAUUCCUUCUUACACAGAAGCAAGAAAGAACUCGCUUUCUGCACGCAACUGGGGUUUACAAUCUUAAAGUAUUUGACAGACUCAAAGGAAAUAGGAAUCUGUUGCCCCUAGCAGAUCAAUGAAAAAUUAUUAAAAGACUUUGUGACUCAUGUCAUGUGGGAUGACAGACAUUAACAAUUCUAGACACCUGUGCCUUUGGGGAAAAGAACUAAUGUAGACAGUUCCACAGGUAGUAAAACCUAUCUCCUGCUUCCUUAAUUGAGAAAGGAAAAACAAGCCGUUGCCUCCAUGGAACCAAACAGAAAGGAAACGCAUUUUUCAUGUAGGAUGAAGAUUAAAGUUUAUACAUAUGGCUAGCUUUCAAAGAUAUAAAUAACUUUCAUGUUCCCUGACACUGUCUCAGUGUGGAUAGAGGGCUGGCCUACAUGACUAACAAAACCUAUAAAGUGUUUCUAUAAUAAAACCUGUCUCUCUGAGUCCCAUCUACUAUGAUCUAAGCAAUGAAAUUCAUAAAGUCAUACUAUGUGACAGAUCUCACUUGAGAAGUUUAUUGGGGACGGGGUAUGCAAAGGAUGCCACUGGGGAAGGAUGGAGGGAAUAAGAGAGUGGGAAGAAGAGAGAUGCCUUUCAUUCUGGGAUUUAGC